UGAAUAUUCAGUUUAAUUGCUCAAAGAGAAUCGUUUUGACAUUGAAUAUAGGAAAAGAAAAAAGAAAGGAGAAUAAUUUUUGGCUGAAUCUAUACUUUGCUGUUCUGAAGUUAAGCAGAAAUUCCACAAAAAGCAAGAGAACAGGCAAAAACACACUUGUGUAUCCAACUGAAGGUGAAGAAUGUGAAAGUGCUCUAGGGUUUCCAGCCAAAAUUCCCACAGAUGGAGGCACAAGAAGAAUGACGGAAUGUUCGAAUUGUCCUCUAUCACCAUCCUACCAAAUGUACAACAGAACUCUCUUACAAGCAGCUCCCAGAAUCAAGCACUGGCUCACUGACAGCAUGAAAUACUCUAGUACUUCAAAAAAGUGCAUUUAAAAAAACCAACAACUGCUGGCGGCCAUGUUGAGUUUGAAACAUCCCUACGAUGAUUAUAAAGAGAACCUUGGGUGACAUGAUCAGUUUUAGCUGUAGAUCCCUGUGGACUGAUAGAUGGAUAAGAUUUUGGUUGGAUGGUCACAUUCAGAGCACAGUGGUUAACAGCUCAGAGUCCC